GAGUGAGAGGAGAAGCGAGCGAUGUGAAAGAAGAGUCAAAUGAGGGAUCUACAGCUGAACUCCUUAAUUAAUUACAUAUUUGACCAUUGGUACACAACAGAAAGAGGUGAUUCUUACCAUCAAGGUGAGAUUUCCCUGUAGCAUUACAAAAAAAAAUUCCAAAUAUUACAUAUGUAAGUUGUAAAGCUUGCAACCCAGAUACAAGCUCUCCGGUGUGAGGAUGUUGAACAGAUUUAAAGUCAUGACCUGCAGGCUUACACUCCUAUUACCGACCUUUAAAACCAGGACCCACUUUUAUGCUCCAAGUCAGACGGAAGACAAUAAACCGUGUGAGUAUCUUCACGCCAACGCUUUGUCUUGUCUGUGCUGGGAUCGUGAAAACUGGCUCAACAGGCCAAGGGAGUUUUCCAAUUGUGUUAGGAUGUAUUCAGUUCUUUCAGUUACUGUGCU
ensembl:lncRNA